GCAUAUCAAUAAGCGGAGGAAAAGAAACCAACAGGGAUUGCCUCAGUAGCGGCGAGUGAAGCGGCAAAAGCUCCAUUUUGAAAGCUCUUCGGAGCGUUGUAGAUUGGUGGGAAGCUAACGGCUGGUGGGAGACCAAGUCCUCUGGAACGAGGCGCCAUAGAGGGUGAGAGCCCCGUGUGUCUCCUUUACCGACCUUUCAGCCCCCUCCGCGGAGUCGAGUUGUUUGGGAAUGCAGCUCUAAGUGGGUGGUAAAUUCCAUCUAAGGCUAAAUAUUGGCGAGAGACCGAUAGCGAACAAGUACAGUGAUGGAAAGAUGAAAAGCACUUUGAAAAGAGAGUGAAACAGUACGUGAAAUUGUUGAAAGGGAAGGGUAUUUGGCCCGACAUGGGUCCUAUGCACCGUUGCCUCUCGUGGGCGGCGCUCUGCUUGGGCCUGGGCCAGCGUCAGUUUGGAGGGGGCGAGAAGGGUUUUGGGGAGUUGCCUAGCAAUUCCCCUUUGCUAGAUUGCCCCACACCGGACUGAGGACCGCCAUCUGUAGGAUGCUGGCACAACGGCCAAAUACCGCCCGUCUUGAAACACGGACC
rnacentral:rRNA from 1 species